GAUGAACGCUAGCGGCAGGCCUAAUACAUGCAAGUCGAACGGUAAGGCCCUUUCGGGGGUACACGAGUGGCGGACGGGUGCGUAACGCGUAUGCAACAUACCUUCCAGCGGGGGAUAUGCCAGGGAAACUUGGUGCAAAACCCCAUAGUAUUCUAGGAUCACAUGGUCUUAGGAUUAAAUCUCCGGAGCUGGAAGAUUGGCAUGCGUGACAUUAGCUAGUUGGCGGGGUAACGGCCCACCAAGGCGACGAUGUCUAGCUGGUCUGAGAGGAUGAUCAGCCACACUGGGACUGAGACACGGCCCAGACUCCUACGGGAGGCAGCAGUAGGGAAUAUUGGACAAUGGGGGCAACCCUGAUCCAGCCAUGCCGCGUGAGGGAAGAAGGUCCUCUGGAUUGUAAACCUCUUUUGGUGGGGAAUAAACCUGCGCUAUACGCGCAGCUGAAGGUACCCACAGAAUAAGCACCGGCUAACUCCGUGCCAGCAGCCGCGGUAAUACGGAGGGUGCAAGCGUUGUCCGGAUUCAUUGGGUUUAAAGGGUGCGUAGGCGGCCCGGUAAGUCAGCGGUGAAAUACCCACGCUCAACGUGGGAACUGCCGUUGAUACUGCUGGGCUUGAGUUCGUGCGAGGUUGCUGGAAUGCGUGGUGUAGCGGUGAAAUGCAUAGAUAUCACGCAGAACACCGAUUGCGAAGGCAGGUGACUGGCACGCGACUGACGCUGAGGCACGAAAGUGUGGGGAGCAAACAGGAUUAGAUACCCUGGUAGUCCACACCGUAAACGAUGGAUACUAGGUGUUCGGGGCUUCGGCCCUGAGUGCCCAAGGGAAACCGAUAAGUAUCCCACCUGGGGAGUACGUCCGCAAGGAUG
rnacentral:rRNA from 1 species